rnacentral:sRNA from 1 species
UCCCGUAUGGUCUAGUGGCUGGGAUACCU